rnacentral:misc_RNA from 1 species
AGCAGCCGCGGUAAUUCCAGCUCCAAUAGCGUAUAUUAAAGUUGUUGCAGUUAAAAAGCUCGUAGUUGAAUUUUGGGUCUGGCCGGGCGGUCCGCCCUCUGGGUGAGCACUGUUCCGACGCCGGGCCUAUCCUUCUGGUGAGUCGGCAUGUCCUUUAUUGGGUGUGCCGGGGAACCAGGACCAUUACCUUGAAAAAAUUAGAGUGUUCAAAGCAGGCGUAUGCUCGGAUACAUUAGCAUGGAAUAAUGAAAUAGGACGCGUGGUGCUAUUUUGUUGGUUUCUAGAACCGCCGUAAUGAUUAAUAGGGAUAGUUGGGGGCAUUAGUAUUCAAUUGUCAGAGGUGAAAUUCUUGGAUUUAUUGAAGACUAACUUCUGCGAAAGCAUUUGCCAAGGAUGUUUUCAUUAAUCAAGAACGAAAGUUAGGGGAUCGAAGACGAUCAGAUACCGUCGUAGUCUUAACCAUAAACUAUGCCGACUAGGAAUCGGGCGAUGUUAUUCUCAU